CAACGAAUAUUCCGCAAUGGACGAAAGUCUGACGGAGCGACGCCGCGUGCGGGAAUAAGCCCUUCGGGGUGUAAACCGCUGUCAGGGAUCACCAAGCAAAGGGGACUAAUACUCCCUUGCGUUGAGGAAUCCCAGAGGAAGCCACGGCUAACUUCGUGCCAGCAGCCGCGGUAAUACGAAGGUGGCAAGCGUUGUUCGGAAUCACUGGGCUUAAAGAGCACGUAGGCGGCCUGUCAAGCGUCUUGUGAAAUCCCUCGGCUCAACCGAGGAAUGGCUGGGCGAACUGGCAGGCUUGAGGUAAGUAGGGGCGCACGGAACUCUUGGUGGAGCGGUGGAAUGCGUAGAUAUCAAGAGGAACGCCGGUGGCGAAGGCGGUGCGCUGGGCUUAUCCUGACGCUGAGGUGCGAAAGCCAGGGGAGCAAACGGG
rnacentral:rRNA from 1 species